ACUCCUACGGGAGGCAGCAGUGGGGAAUAUUGGACAAUGGCCGCAAGCCUGAUCCAGCCAUGCCCCGUGCGUGAGGAAGGCCUUCGGGUUGUAAAGCCCUUUUGUUGGGAAAGAAAAGCAAUCGGUUAAUACCCGGUGUCUGACGGACCCAAAGAAUA
rnacentral:rRNA from 1 species